CCCUUAGAUGUUCUGGGCCGCACGCGCGCUACACUGACGAAUGCAACGAGCUUAUAACCUUGGCCGAAAGGUCUGGGUAAUCUCCAAAUUUCGUCGUGAUGGGGAUAGAUUAUUGCAAUUAUUAAUCUUCAACGAGGAAUGCCUAGUAAGCGCAAGUCAUCAGCUUGCGUUGAUUACGUCCCUGCCCUUUGUACACACCGCCCGUCGCUCCUACCGAUUGAAUGGUCCGGUGAAAUCUUCGGAUUGCUGACCAAAUUCCAGCAAUGGAGCUUGGUUGCGAGAAGUUGAUUAAACCUUAUUAUUUAGAGGAAGGAGAAGUCGUAACA
rnacentral:rRNA from 1 species